rnacentral:rRNA from 1 species
AUGGCGAUCGCACUUUCCAGAGAUGGAUUGGUGCCUUCGGGAACUCAGACACAGGUGCUGCAUGGCUGUCGUCAGCUCGUGUCGUGAGAUGUUGGGUUAAGUCCCGUAACGAGCGCAACCCUUGUCCUUAGUUACCAG